CUCCUCCUCCUCCUCCUCCCCGCCGGGGUGAAACUCGAGCGCCCCACCCGCGCCUGACCUCCCCGAGCCCCUCCCCGGGCCCCGCCCCUUCCCGGUACAGGACCCCCACCUUCGCUCCUGGGAGCCCCGCUGCACCCCAGGAGUUCCAUUCCAGCCUCCCCAGUGCGAGUGCGGCCGAGCGCUGACUUUUGGGGGCUCCCUCCCCCGUCUCACUGGGUCCCUCUGCGGCUCCCCCGCCCGCUGUCCCGGUUCAGACGUGGCUGCACCCCGGAGGGGGGCGCCGGCCGAGACCUGAGACGUGGCGCUCCCUCUCUGCCGGCCUCGGCUUCAGUGCUUGAAUUUCAGCCACAUCCCUAAGCUGCCAUCUCAGACCAGAGGAACAGGGAGGGGGGCUUUCUGGAAAGAACAUCACCUGGAAGAAAUCAGGACAUGACUGUGGGCCAUGAGUGACCUUCAAAGGAAAGCCGGGUAUCUGUGGUCUUUAAGAUGUGAUCCAUGACAUUUAAAAACUGAAGAAAUGGAAAGAUCAUCUGAUCAGGCCCAUCAGUCUUUUUCCUAAUGCUAAACAUUGGUACAAAGACGUGAAGUUUGAUGUCUCACUAAGAUUGCCUAGGGCUGCUUUAUUGCUCACCUACUUCAAAGUAUUGGGAAAACAUGAUUAUGGGUACAGGUGAUGCUGUGUUGCCCCCAGACAGGUUUCUUUUGUCAGGUUCUUUUGAUGGAUUAGGAACCUACAAGUGGGGAGAUUUUAGGGAAAUAGCCCCUCCACUUGGAUUUCACCAAAACGUCUUUAGGGUUCUCUUACCCCAAGAAACACGCAUUCCUCUUUAGUGUGGCAGCCCACUCUAUUGGCAAAGUUAAGCAGACCAGUUUUACUAAAAAGGAGCCACCCAGAAACUUAGACAGAAAAUACUUGAGGCACAGAUGAGAAUGAGCACAAAUGUGCAUAGCAAGUGCAGUUUCCUGGCCCUUAAACUGAAGGGCCAGGUCAGUCUGCUCCUCCAGGCACAGCCUGGGACCCCAUCAUGUGCCCCACUCUGCAGUCUGAGCUUCCACUCAAGUCCACCAGGGCCUGCCUCACAUAUAUAUACAAGACCCAAUGUCAGAGUCUGCCUCUGCCCAUGUCUGGUCAGAGGGUUGCACUUUGCCACUGCUACAUGUUCCCAGAGGUUGGCACAGCAUGACCUGGACCUCACCUAACCCAGGCAAACUCUGCUCAUCUUCGAGCUCUCUGGAACCCAUUUCUCAAGGGAGAACCACAUUCCCCCACCUCACAGCCAAGUUCAAGGAAGCAGCCUGGCUAAAGCAAUGACUCAAGGAUACCAGAAGCAGAGCACGCAUUUAAGAAGAUGCGCUGACUCGCAGGAGCAGCUGACUCUUCUUAAGAAGAGUUUACUGAUUCUUCUUUCAGUACGGGCCUUUUAAUAAGAUAUUGUAUUUUACUUCAGCUAUGGGUGCAGACAAUUAAAGGAUUCUAGAAAUCUGAA
rnacentral:lncRNA from 1 species